CAGGGACAUCGAGCGCCACAAUGUUUAGCUGCCCUACCUAAGCGCACGCCUCCAGUGGAGAAUACGCAACCUCAGACAAAGAAGCUGGGCCUAUCGCGCACUGCUCCAAUGACGAUUACGCGCAUUUGAACCGAGAACAACUUGUCGCCAUGUUAAACAGUUUGAAAGCAUAGGAAUUACCGGCCUCCUUUUCAGUCAGUAGUAUAGAAACUCAGGCUCAUUGCAGACCGUAUCUUAGUGCGUGGGUAGGAGGCCGGCCAUGCGAUAUGCUAAUUGAUACUGGCGCUUCUGUUUCUAUCACUGACCUACCGCUCCCUUGUACAAAGCAUUCCAUUGAUCUUGCUGGCAUUGGGGUAAUUCUGUCCGCGCAUAUAAAUCCUUUCCAGUACUUGUGGAAUCCAAUAAUGCUUAUUGGACACAAUCAUUUUUCAUUUGUAGGACUGCAGAAGGUACCAUCCUCGGUUCUGACGGCAUGAGAUUACUGAAAGCUACUGUUGCAUACUCGCCUAUGGCUUUAUCAGUUUGUGACGCUUCUCAUAAACGCAAGACAUUGCCAUUAGCUGCUCUUUCCCAUACUGCUAUAGCAUCUGUUGCAACACCUAUUGUCCAUUCCUGGGAUUUGACUAACAAGUUCCAAGCUUUAUGUGCAACAUUCUCUGCAUGCUGGUCUGUGCACAAACUGGAUUGUGGAGCUGCACCAUUACCACCACUUGAGGUAACAGGGACUAUGCCCUCACCUGUGAAACAAUACCCGAUUAAACCAGAAGCUGCUCAAGCAGUUGGCUCAAUCAUUCAGUCCUUGCUUUCACAGGAGGUCAUUGAGCCAUGUGUCUCACCCUGUAAUUCUCCUGUCUGGCCUGUGCAAAAACCAGAUGGCUCAUGGCGCCUGACAAUUGAUUACAGAACGGUUAAUGCUGCUGCAGACAAACUUGCUCCAAUUGUUUCUGACCCAAACACGCUGCUUGCUGAUAUCAAACCUAGUCACUGUAUAUUUUCUGUGAUAGACAUUGCCAAUGGAUUCUGGGCCCUGCCUGUUGCUGAAAACUCAAGAGCUUGGUUUGCCUUCACACACCAGAACACGCAAUACACAUGGAAACGCAUGCCUCAGGGCUUUCAUAACAGCCCUACGCUUUUCCAUCGCGCAAUGGCCAAGAUUCUAGCAACAGUUUCAUGGUCUCAGUAUGAAGGAACACAGUGCCUCCAAUAUGUUGAUGAUAUUCUCUUGGCUUCUUCUGACCCUGUCUCUCAUUUCCAGGCUCUGGAAGCUUUACUCAAAGCUUUGGAAAAAUACAAUAUGAAAGCAAGUCCAAAGAAGGCCCAAAUCGCACAAGACGCUGUCCAGUAUUUGGGCUUUACCAUAUCCCAGGGCUCGAAGCAACUCACUGUUGACCGGAGAACUGCUAUUGCCACUGCUCCGCGUCCCCGCACUGUCCGUGAUGUUCGUAAGAUUCUGGGACUUUUUAACUUCUGCAGGAACCACAUACCUGACUUUUCUGUUAUUGCAACACCAAUCAAUGCUCUUUUGAAGGGCUCCCAUCGCCCAUUGGAGACCGUUGAUUGGACAACCGAGUGUGAAGAUGCAUUCAGCACUCUCAAAUCUGCUCUCACUUCUGCCCCUGCUUUAGGUUUCCCUUGUUCUGACCUCCCGUUCUUUCUAUGGUCAGCUGUGAUACAAGGCCACAUGACAGCCGUUCUUACUCAGCCCCAUGGAGGCAUACAACGCCCCGUUGCUUACUAUUCUUCUCGCCUGGAUUCUGUCGCUUCUGGUCUUUCCCCUUGCUUACAGGAAGUGCAGGCUGCCGCCACAGCAGUAACGGUCUCCGCUGCACUAGUCUCAGGAGCUCCACUCUCUGUCAAUGUCUCUCAUGCUGUGCAUAACAUACUAACCCAAGGCCGUUUCUCUCGUGUUUCAGCAGCCAGGUGGACUAGAUGGGAAGCCAUCUUGUUAGCUCCGCUUAUCACACUCAUCCACUCCCCAGCUGUGAACCCAGCCACUCUCUUACCUGUCGAGGGAGACGGGGAGCCACAUGAGUGCCCAUUGUCUCCAGAUCACCCAUCCAAUUCAGACAUCUCUGAAACACCUCUUUCUGACAAUGAUUUCUCACUUUUUGUUGAUGGAUCUCGUUUUUACAAUGGGGCCCACCCAGUUACAGGAUAUGCAGUUGUUGACAUUGCUGGUCAGGUAAUGGUAUCAGGCCGCCUUCCAAGUUCAGAUUCAGCACAGGUGGCUGAACUUGUUGCCCUCACUCAUGCCUGUGAGUUGGGUUCUGGGAAACGACUUACUAUAUACACUGAUUCCAGGUAUGCAUUUGGUGUUGUCCAUGACUUUAUGGUUAACUGGUCAUCUCGGGGUUUCCUGACUUCAUCAGGUACCCCGAUAAAAAAUGGGGGGGUUGUUCAGAAUCUCAUAACUGCCUCUAAACUACCAAACAAACUAGCAGUUGUAAAAGUGAAAGCGCACACUAAAGGACAAGAUGCAAUCAGCUUGGGUAACCACUGGGCAGAUGAAGCUGCCAAAGCAGCAGCUUUAAAUGACUCCCUGCCUACUUACAAAAUUGCAGCUAUUGACAUGUCGGGUCCAACUAACAUUGACAUAGCUAAACUACAGGAUGCCUGUACAAGAGCUGAAAAAUGGACGUGGAUUGAAAAUGCAUGCACUCUUAAUGAUGACAACAUUUGGCACACACAGGACGGGAAAGUUGUUGCCCCUCAGAGCAUCCUUUCAUUGCUUUGUGAAGUAUACCAUGGCAUUGCACACAAUGGAGAAAGAACAAUGCGGCACAACAUGUCACUUCAUUGGUGGUCUCCCAAAAUGACCAAGGUAAUGAAAGAUUUCGUUAGGCGUUGCAUCAUUUGUGCAAAAAGCAAUCAAGGUCCAAAAAUAAAAGUAAUGAUGAAACACCAGCCACGGCCUACUGGACCCUUUCAGCAAAUCCAGAUGGAUUUCAUUGGCCCUCUUCCAAAGAGCCAUGGAAAAGAACACUGUCUCGUUCUCAUAGACCACUUCACACGCUGGGUAGAAGUUUACCCUGUAGCCUGUGCAAAUGCCGCAACCACGGCAAAAAUAAUCGCAUCUGAAUUCUGCCCACGCUGGGGCCUUCCCUGCUACAUAGACUCAGACCAAGGGACCCACUUCACCGGUAAAGUAAUGAAACAGACUCUGAAAGAUAAACAAAAGGAGGGGGGGCAAGAAUCGCAGACAUAUGAACCUGGACAAUGGGUUAUGAUAAGAGCCCCUCAUCCUAGAUCUUUCCAACCUCGAUGGCAAGGACCACACCAGGUCUUACUAACCUCUGAGACUGCUCUUCGAGUUACAGGCAUCCCGGUCUGGAUCCACCAAUCCCGGACCAAACCAUGCCCAUCACCCGAAGACCUCAAAAAGCCUGAAGAACUCCCUGCCACGGACGACUGCAGCCUUCACGAAUCAGGUGCAAACGUUCCAAUUUUUUCACAUACUCAACCAAAUUGAGCAUUCAAGUUAUGCUCCCAUCCAACAUGCUGAAUUCAUUUGUAAUUAUAAUCACAGUUUUGAGCCAUGGUGGAGUAAGUGCUGUGGACAAUAACAUUUACAUGCAAUUAGUUCACAUGACAGCCAAACAUGCAAAUAAGACUGGCUGCUAUGUCUGUGGAUUAAUACCACAUUCUGUCGCACUUGGUGUUCCAAUGAUGUCCGUACCUAUCGCCUCCAAGUAUAACACUGCAGAUAGCGAUAGCAAAAGUGAACUUGUUACCAGACCUAAACAUAUAUGUGAUCCUGAACCCAUUAACAUUGCUCUGUCUCUUGGCCCAUA